GACGAACGCUGGCGGCGUGCUUAACACAUGCAAGUCGAACGGAAAGGCCCUGCUUUUGUGGGGUGCUCGAGUGGCGAACGGGUGAGUAACACGUGAGUAACCUGCCCUUGACUUUGGGAUAACUUCAGGAAACUGGGGCAAAUACCGGAUAGGAGCUCCUGCUGCAUGGUGGGGGUUGGAAAGUUUCGGCGGUUGGGGCUGGAUGGGCGGGUUAUCAGCUUGUGGGGGGGGUAGGGGCUUACCAAGGCUUUGACGGGUAGCCGGCCUGGGGGGGUGAACGGGGACAUUAGGACUGAGAGACGGACCAGAGUGCUACGGGGGGCAGUAGUGGGGAAUCUUGCCCAACGGGGGGAAGCCUGAUGCAGAAGCGCUGCGUGUGGGAAGACGGCCUUCGGGUUGUAAAAUGCUUUGGCCUGUGACGAAGCGUGAGUGACGGUAAUGGGUAAAGAAGCACCGGCUAACUACGUG
rnacentral:rRNA from 1 species